rnacentral:rRNA from 1 species
CCUACGGGGGGCAGCAGUGGGGAAUGUUGGACAAUGGGGGGAACCCUGAUCCAGCCAUGCCGCGUGUGUGAAGAAGGCCCUCGGGUUGUAAAGCACUUUCAGUGAGGAAGAACGCCUGGUGGUUAAUACCCAUCAGGAAAGACAUCACUCACAGAAGAAGCACCGGUUAACUCCGUGCCAGCAGCCGCGGUAAUACGGAGGGUGCGAGCGUUAAUCGGAAUUACUGGGCGUAAAGCGCGCGUAGGUGGCUUGAUAAGCCGGUUGUGAAAGCCCCGGGCUCAACCUGGGAACGGCAUCCGGAACUGUCAAGCUAGAGUGCAGGAGAGGAAGGUAGAAUUCCCGGUGUAGCGGUGAAAUGCGUAGAGAUCGGGAGGAAUACCAGUGGCGAAGGCGGCCUUCUGGACUGACACUGACACUGAGGUGCGAAAGCGUGGGUAGCAAACAGGAUUAGAUACCCCAGUAGUC